ACAGUGAAAUGCUGAAUACAACAGGUGUAGUAGACCUUACACUGAAAUGCUGAAUACAACAGGUGUAGUAGACCUUACAGUGAAAUGCUGAAUACAACAGGUGUAGUAGACCUUACAGUGAAAUGCCGAAUACAACAGGUGUAGUAGACCUUACAGUGAAAUGCUGAAUACAACAGGUGUAGUAGACCUCACAGUGAAAUGCUGAAUACAACAGGUGUAGUAGACCUUACAGUGAAAUGCUGAAUACAACAGGUGUAGUAGACCUCACAGUGAAAUGCUGAAUACAACAGGUGUAGUAGACCUUACAGUGAAAUGCUGAAUACAACAGGUGUAGUAGACCUUACAGUGAAAUGCUGAAUACAACAGGUGUAGUAGACCUCACAGUGAAAUGCUGAAUACAACAGGUGUAGUAGACCUUACAGUGAAAUGCUGAAUACAACAGGUGUAGUAGACCUUACAGUGAAAUGCUGAAUACAACAGGUGUAGUAGACCUCACAGUGAAAUGCUGAAUACAACAGGUGUAGUAGACCUCACAGUGAAAUGCUUACUUACAAGCCCUUAUUAACCAACAAUGUAGUUUUAAGAAAAUAUUUACGAAAUACAUUUUUAUAACAAGUAUAACAAUAAAAAUAACAAUAAUGAGGCUAUAUACAGGGGGUAUAGGUAAUUUGUACAUGUAGGUAGGGGUAAAGUGACUACGCAUAGAGAUAAACAGUGAGUAGCAGCACAAAAACAAACAAAGUCAGUGUAAAUUGUCCGGGUGGUCAUUUGAUUACUUGUUCAGCAGUCUUAUGCCUUGGGUGUAGAAGCUGUUUAAGGAGCCGUUUGGACCUAGACUCGGCCCUCCGGUACCGCUUGCCGUGCGGUAGCAGAGAGAACAGUCUGACUUGGGUGGUUGGAGUCUUUGACAAUUUUUUUGGGGGGGCCUUCCUUUGACACCGCCUGGUAUAGAGUUCCUGGAUGGCAGGAAGUUUGAUCUAGUGACGGCAACAAAGAUAAGCACCAUAUGAAUACAGUUGGACUU